ACAACAACAAAAAGAGAAUUAGUGAAGGUCUUAUUUUGGUUAAUAGCUUUUAGGUCCCGUGCAAUUUAUCGAAUUUCAGACUGCUUUACGAAUUUUUGGUUAGUAUUAGGCAAAGAAUAUCUAAUAGUAAAUUUUAGGGAAACAAAUGCUGCUGAAUUUUAUGUCACUCUCUUCAAAUAUCCGAUGCACAUCAGGACUUACAUUUCCCAUGCACUUGGUGUAUCAUUAUGCUACCUUCAAACCAAGUGAUAUCCUGCAUCUUAGAGGCAUCAAGAACGCUGCUAUAUUUAUUCCUGUAGAACCAUGCCGGGAUAAGAGUUGCUAAGGUAAAUUUUGAAGCUUAGCAGAAUAAAAAUGGAAAUCUUUGUUUACUUUUUGUGUUUCAAGAAUAAAUACGUACUAUCUCCUCUUACCCUUUAUGUUAUGUUAGGAAAUACUUUAUGAUCCUAAAUGGAUAGCUGCACAUGCUAUUUGUGUUUAACUAUUUUCUUGGUCUAUUUUAACUAUCAAUCUUCAAACAACGCAUAAAGAGAGGUUGUGUAUGCGUAAAAAUACAAGCACUGUGUAAUGUGUUUGUGCAAUAUUAAGAUGCCAACUCGGUAAAAUGAUUUGAUCGUA